GGGGCUGUCCUGUGCAUUCUAGGAUGUUUAGUAGCAUCCCUGGCAUCAGCUGACCCAGUUUCAAGGUUUCUGUUACACUCUGAAAUUCCCUGAUUUGCUUUAGGAACCCCAGAUUCUUCUCCAUGGUCGGAAUCAUUGCAAAAUAACUGGUUUCCCUAGGAUCACCAGCUGUCAUGGACUGAUUUGUGUCUCUCCAAAUUCAUAUGUUGAAUACUUAACCUGCCAUGCGAUUGUGAUUGGAGAUAAUUCCUUUAGGGAAGCAAUGAAGGUUAAAUGAGGUCAUAGGUGGGAGCUUAAUCCAAUGGGACUGGGGUCCCUACAAGAAGAGGAAGACACCAGAGCUCUCUGUCUCCACACACAGAGAAAAGAGGCUGUAUGAGGACACAAGAGAAGGUAAUAGCUGUCUACAAACCAAGAAGAGAAGCCUCUCCAGAAAAUGAACCCUGCUGGAACUUGGUCUUGGACUUUCCAGCCUCCAGAACUGGGAG
rnacentral:lncRNA from 1 species